CCUACGGGAGGCAGCAGUGGGGAAUCUUGCGCAAUGGGCGAAAGCCUGACGCAGCAACGCCGCGUGCGGGAAGAAGGCUUUCGGGCUGUAAACCGCUUUCAGCAGGAACGAAAAUGACGGUACCUGCAGAAGAAGGAGCGGCCAACUAUGUGCCAGCAGCCGCGGUGAUACAUAGGCUUCAAGCGUUGUCCGGAUUUAUUGGGCGUAAAGAGUUCGUAGGCGGUCGAGUAAGUCGGGUGUGAAAAUUCUGGGCUCAACCCAGAGACGCCACCCGAUACUGCUUGACUUGAGUUCGAUAGGGGAGUGGGGAAUUCCUAGUGUAGCGGUGAAAUGCGCAGAUAUUAGGAGGAACACCGGUGGCGAAGGCGCCACUCUGGAUCGAUACUGACGCUGAGGAACGAAAGCAUGGGUAGCAAACGGGAUUAGAUACCCUGGUAGUCCAUGCCGUAAACGGUGGGCACUAGGUGUGGGUUUCUAUUAACGAAAUCCGCGCCGUCGCUAACGCAUUAAGUGCCCCGCCUGGGGAGUACGGUCGCAAGACUAAAACUCAAAUGAAUUGACGG
rnacentral:rRNA from 1 species